CAGUCGCCACGGGAAUACGGAGGGAGCUAGCGUUGUUCGGAAUUACUGGGCGUAAAGCGCACGUAGGCGGUUAUUCAAGUCAGAGGUGAAAGCCCGGGGCUCAACCCCGGAACUGCCUUUGAAACUAGAUGACUGGAAUCUUGGAGAGGUCAGUGGAAUUCCGAGUGUAGAGGUGAAAUUCGUAGAUAUUCGGAAGAACACCAGUGGCGAAGGCGACUGACUGGACAAGUAUUGACGCUGAGGUGCGAAAGCGUGGGGAGCAAACAGGAUUAGAUACCCCGGUAGUCCCUGUCUCUUAUAC
rnacentral:rRNA from 1 species